UGCAGUCGAACGAGAAGGUACCUUCAGGUACUGGACAGUGGCGCACGGGUGAGUAACGCGUGGGAACCUGCCCUGAGGUACGGGAUAACGGCUGGAAACGGCCGCUAAUACCGUAUGUCCCCUGCGGGGGAAAGAUUUAUCGCCUUGGGAGGGGCCCGCGUCCGAUUAGCCUGUUGGUGAGGUAAUGGCUCACCAAGGCAUCGAUCGGUAGCUGGUCUGAGAGGAUGAUCAGCCACACUGGGACUGAGACACGGCCCAGACUCCUACGGGAGGCAGCAGUGGGGAAUAUUGGACAAUGGGGGCAACCCUGAUCCAGCAAUGCCGCGUGUGUGAUGAAGGCCUUAGGGUUGUAAAGCACUUUCACUGGUGAAGAUGAUGACGGUAGCCAGAGGAGAAGCCCCGGCUAACUCCGUGCCAGCAGCCGCGGUAAU
rnacentral:rRNA from 1 species